ACGAACGCUGGCGGCAUGCCUAAUACAUGCAAGUCGAACGAGAUCUUCGGAUCUAGUGGCGCACGGGUGCGUAACGCGUGGGAAUCUGCCCUUGGGUUCGGAAUAACGUCGGGAAACUGACGCUAAUACCGGAUGAUGACGUAAGUCCAAAGAUUUAUCGCCCAGGGAUGAGCCCGCGUAGGAUUAGCUAGUUGGUGGGGUAAAGGCCUACCAAGGCGACGAUCCUUAGCUGGUCUGAGAGGAUGAUCAGCCACACUGGGACUGAGACACGGCCCAGACUCCUACGGGAGGCAGCAGUAGGGAAUAUUGGACAAUGGGGGCAACCCUGAUCCAGCAAUGCCGCGUGAGUGAUGAAGGCCUUAGGGUUGUAAAGCUCUUUUACCCGGGAUGAUAAUGACAGUACCGGGAGAAUAAGCCCCGGCUAACUCCGU
rnacentral:rRNA from 1 species